GACGAACCGAGCGAACGUUAUUCGGAAUCACUGGGCUUAAAGGGUGCGUAGGCGGGCACGCGAGUCAGGGGUGAAAUCCCACGGCCCAACCGUGGAAGUGCCUCUGAUACCGCGAGCCUCGAGGGGGAUAGGGGCGUGCGGAACUUCCGGUGUAGCGGUGAAAUGCGUAGAUAUCGGAAGGAACACCUGUGGCGAAAGCGGCUCACUGGACCAUUACUGACGCUGAGGCGCGAAAGCUAGGGGAGCAAACAGG
rnacentral:rRNA from 1 species